UUGGAGCCCAUCGUAGUACAUGUCAAUGGGAGCAAGGUGUGAAAUGGACCUUCAAGGAGAGGUAGGAUGGAUUCUCAGUUCCUCUGACACACCAAGAUCUUUCCCACACCAGCACCUUUGCCACCACCCAUCCCCGUCUCCAUUGCCUGGAACAAAAUUGCCCCUGCUCUGAACAUAGCAGAAUUUCCCUUGCUCUUGGCAUAUCUGGAUCCUUCUCACCCUUUUGACCUCUGUGUAAGUAUAAGCAUCACUUCCAGCUGAAGACGUUCUCUUACAGACUCUAUCCACACACAUGCUGCUAGCAUUCUUCAUCUUCUCCUCCUUUUCCCCCUUUGUAUCACUUACCACAAUCUGUGAUUAUUUUAUUAUUUGCUUGCUUGCCUCUUUUCUGUCUACUCCACUAGAUCAUGAGUCUGCAAACUUUUUCUGUAAAGAGCCAGAUAGUAAAUAUUUUAGAUUUAUGCCAUACGGUUUCUGUUGCAACUACUUGACUCUGCCACUGCAGCAUAAAAUCAGCUGUAGACAAUACAUAAACAAAUUAG
rnacentral:lncRNA from 10 species